CUCUUGAAAAUUCACCAUCAAAUUGCUAUCAUAGAAAUUGAAGUUGUCCAAAUUGUAAUCAUCCCGUGAAGU